CGGCCUCUACUCGUGGGAGCCGCAGCCCAACCUGGUCCCCAUCGUGGCGGGGGUGGCCGUCACCGUUGUGGCCAGCGCCAUCAUGGGUGGUGUUGGAUUUGCUGUCUGGAAACGCCGUGCAGGGAAGAAUGAGAAGGGCUACAUCAUUGCGCCUGACCGGGAUGGCGGAUCCAGCAGCUCGUCCACAG